GGUUGUUACCUAUGAUGAGCUGAUUCAGCCUGACCUAUCCAGGUUUAAAUGCAAAGCUUGCAGCCAAGCACAUUAUCCACAAAGCUUGCAUUACCACCAUGUUCUAGGUCUCUUUUGGAGGCGACGAAGUAGUAUGCUCUUGAUGAGUUGCUUCCUGGGCAGGUUUCAUUCUGUGCUAGACUAUAUUGCCAGAAACUUCAUAUGUAAAGGAAGAAUACGAUGAGCCUCGAGACCAGGAAGAAAGAGGUGACCUCAGACCAU